UUUAAAUUUUAUAGUUUCAUAUUUCACUUGCAACUAUAUUUCCUAAAUAUCAGUUUCACAAUCAGGAGUAAGCAGCUUCACGAACAUAACCAAUUUCACACAUUGGAACAAUCUAUUUCAUAAAAUUGGUUUCAUUGAAUUCAAAAGACCUAUUUCAGUUAAUUGAAAUAACUCAUUUCAUAAAACUAAUUUCACUCAUUACAAAAUAUAUCUCAAAAACUAAUUCCACUUUGUAUUUAUGAAAUAUAUUCAAAUGUAUUUCAAUCAACUCAAAAGUUAGUUUCAAACGUUUGAAAAAAAAUUAACUUGAAAUAAGUGACAUUUAAAUGAAAUAAAAAAAAAUUCACUCGCUUCAUAAAAUACAUUUCGCUCAUUUAUAAAAAAAAUGAAAUAAUCGCAUGUUUUAAAAUAACUAGUUUCACAUUUUUCUAAAUUACAAGUUAAACAUAUUUCACAAUGAAAUUUGUUUCAUAUGCAUAUUUCACUCAUCUUUUUUAGUUGAUUUAAAAUAACAAUUCACUCAUUUAAAAAAUAUGAAUUCACUCAUUUGAAAAGACAUAUUUCACACAUCAAAUAAACAUAUUUCAUCCGUUUUAAAAACAAGAUUCCAUUCAUUUCAAAAACUGACUCACUCAUUUUAUAUUACAGAUUUUCACUGCUUUAAAAUAAUGCAUGCAUAUUUAAAUUCUAUAGUUUCAUAUUUCACUUGCAAUUAUAUUUCCUAAAUAUCAGUUUCACAAUCAGGAGUAAGCAGCUUCACGAACAUAAUCAAUUUCACACAUUGGAACAAUCUAUUUCUUAAAAUUGGUUUCAUUCAAUUCAGAAGACCUAUUUCAGUUAAUUGAAAUAACUCAUUUUGUAAAACUGAUUUCACUCAUUACAAAAUAUAUCUCAAAAACUAAUUCCACUUUGUAUUUAUGAAAUAUAUUCAAAUGUAUUUCAAUCAACUCAAAAGUUAGUUUCAAACGUUUGAAAUAUAAAUUUUAACUUGAAAUAAGUGACAUUUAAAUGAAAUGAAAAACAAUUUCACUCGCUUCAUAAAAUAGAUCGCUCAUUUAUAAAAAAUUGAAAUAAUCGCAUGUUUUAAAAUAACUAGUUUCACAUUUUUCUAAAUUACAAGUUAAACAUAUUUCACAAUGAAGUUUGUUUCAUAUGCAUAUUUCACUCAUCUUUUUUAGUUGAUUCAAAAUAACAAUUCACUCAUUGAAAAAAUAUGAAUUCACUCAUUUGAAAAGACAGAUUUCACACAUUAAAAAAACAUAUUUCAUCUGUUUUAAAAACAUGAUUCCAUUCAUUUCGAAAACUGAUUCACUCAUUUUAUAUUACAGAUUUCACCGCUUUAAAAUAAUGCAUGUAUAUUUAAAUUCCAUAGUUUCAUAUUUCACUUGCAAUUAUAUUUCCUAAAUAUCUGUUUCACAAUCAGGAGUAAGCAGCUUCACGAACAUAAUCAAUUUCACACAUUGGAACAAUCUAUUUCUUAAAAUUGGUUUCAUUGAAUUCAGAAGACCUAUUUCAGUUAAUUGAAAUAACUCAUUUCGUAAAACUGAUUUCACUCAUUACAAAAUAUAUCUCAAAAACUAAUUCCACUUUGUAUUUAUGAAAUAUAUUCAAAUGUAUUUCAAUCAACUCAAAAGUUAGUUUCAAACGUUUGAAAUAUAAAUUUUAACUUGAAAUAAGUGACAUUUAAAUGAAAUAAAAAACAAUUUCACUCACUUCAUAAAAUAGAUUUCGCUCAUUUAUAAAAAAUUGAAAUAAUCGCAUGUUUUAAAAUAACUAGUUUCACAUUUUUCUAAAUUACAAGUUAAACAUAUUUCACAAUGAAAUUUGUUUCAUAUGCAUAUUUCACUCAUCUUUUUUAGUUGAUUCAAAAUAACAAUUCACUCGUUUAAAAAAUAUGAAUUCACUCAUUUGAAAAGACAGAUUUCACACAUUAAAAAAACAUAUUUCAUCCGUUUUAAAAACAUGAUUCCAUUCAUUUCGAAAACUGAUUCACUCAUUUUAUAUUACAGAUUUCACCGCUUUAAAAUAAUGCAUGCAUAUUUAAAUUCUAUAGUUUCAUAUUUCACUUGCAAUUAUGUUUCCUAAAUAUCAGUUUCACAAUCAGGAGUAAGCAGCUUCACGAACAUAAUCAAUUUCACACAUUGGAACAAUCUAUUUCAUAAAAUUGGUUUCAUUGAAUUCAAAAGACCUAUUUCAGUUAAUUGAAAUAACUCAUUUUGUAAAACUGAUUUCACUCAUUACAAAUAUAUCUCAAAAACUAAUUCCACUUAGCAUUUAUGAAAUAUAUUCAAAUGUAUUUCAAUCAACUCAAAAGUUUGUUUCAAACGUUUGAAAUAUAAAUUUUAACUUGAAAUAAGUGACAUUUAAAUGAAAUAAAAAAAUAAUUUCACUCGCUUCAUAAAAUAGAUUUUGCUCAUUUGUAAAUGAUAAUUUUGGUUUCGCUCAAAUACUUAUUUCAUGUAUUCCACAAAACAUGUUUCACUCAUUUGAAACGUUGAAACUAAAAGAUGUUUGAAUGUUUUCAAGAUUAAUCUUGUUCUGAAGGUCUUGGCAUCAGGAGUUCAAAUAUAUAAAAAGUUUCAAAAAUGAAGUUGCAGUUUAAAAUAUAUGAAUGAAUGAAAUUGCCAAAGAGAAAAUAAAGGGCAUGAAUUACUCUGGCAUGUGAUGCAUCUUCCGUACGUGAGAAUGAGGAGAGAGAACGGACCAUGCAUGCGUCAAGUACAACGUUAUUGUUGACAUGGGUCCCUUUCAUCUGAUAUUGAUUUGACUAUUAAUUAAGAUACAAGAGAUGGGUUGUUAUUAUACACAUCUAUACAUUGUCUGUGGGCUCCCUAUAGCACGAAUCACUGCGCAUGUGAGCGGUGGAUGAUUCGCCGGUAGCUACCUGCACCGGUAAAAAGAGCUUUCUG
rnacentral:lncRNA from 1 species